rnacentral:piRNA from 1 species
UGGUUGUAAGCUUCACUGGAGAGUU